AUAAGGCCAUAGCACUUGCUAAAGAGUCGAGGUCUCAUCAGAAAUUAAAGUACAUCAAGCGGCGGUAUCAUAUCAUACGUGACUACUUCGAAAAAAAAUAUGUCGAGGUGCGAAGAGUAGACUCUACAGAUAAUGUGGAAGACCCACUGACAAAACAAUAGAGCUAGCCGAAAAUGGAAGUCCACCUUGAGAAGAUGGGACUUAGAUUAGUGACCAAUUGACUUUAGUCCAAGUGAGAGAUUGUAAGAUGUAUGUCCUACAAGCCAAU
rnacentral:lncRNA from 1 species